GUUUCUGUAGUUGAAUUAACAACGGUGGUUUUUCAAGUCACUGGUCUUGGUUAGAAUCCGAGUGGAAAUU
rnacentral:tRNA from 1 species